AGAGAAAGGCAAGCAAGCAUACCGAGUUGACUGACCCAUUGACAAGCAGCGACCGACGGACCAGUCCGACAAAGUCAUCCAUGUCAUCCAUGUGGAAACAUUAUUGCAAUGAAGCGACGACAGAGCACCCGCCUCAGAACCGAGCCCAGACCACCUCCAUCUGACUUUCCCGACCUUGGCCUUUUGGCUUGCUUGUAGUGGGCGCUGGUGAGGCGCGCGAUUGAAGACGAUGGGGAGGAGAUGAAUCCCCCAGACAGACUGGUGAGUGGUCAGAACAUGAGACCGGCAGAGUAGA
rnacentral:lncRNA from 1 species